GCACGUAUCCUAUAGCAGGUUUCGCCAGGCGCAUGCGCAGCCCCGGCUGGCAACAUUUGCGGUACCUCCCGGAUGUGUCCGCUUGUUCUUAUUCAGACUGACGAGUUGCAAGUUGUUGUGGCAGUUUUUGUCUCUGAUUGUCAAUAUUAAAACGUCCCCAUAAUUCUCCUUGAAGAGUUGCACUGUGAGUGUUAAAUUGAACAGGAAAUUCAGACCAGAAUGGUGACUCCAAUUGAAGAACUAAUAAAAUCGAUUGAUUCCACAAUACUUGUGGGGAUUGAAAUCACCAACAACAGCAAACACUUCGAUCUAACCUCAGCUGCAACAUAUGCGGAUUGUGGUGUGGUACAAAGUCCUCCGCCGCCAACCAUACAGAAAAACACGAAAGGAACAUGUGUUUUCAUCAAAACUCCCUUCUCAUUGUAUGGCACUGCUGGUGUCCUCAGCUACGCCUUUGGCAGUCAGCAGAUCUCCCUUCUGUUUUCCAACCCCCUUGAUUGUAUUAAAUAUGACACUGAAUUUGCUCUGUACAUUCCUGAAAAUAAAACUACAACCCACAAAGAUUUGUAUACAAUGAUGUACACACAGCUACAUGAAUCUGAUUCCUUCACAAAAGCUGCUAUCGGCAGAGGAAAUACAGCACUGCAGCUGGCCAAAGGGGGAAUGGAAGCUUCAGCUACCAUGUCAAAUGUGAAUUACAAAGCUGUACUCAAGCUGGAGGUUCGAGAUCAUUCUUCUUCUCCAUACAAGCCUAAUUAAAGUUUUGGAUCAAAAGUAAUCUCAAAAUUCAGUCAACAAACAUUCUGCUGGAGGAACUCAGUGGGUCGAGCAGCACCUGUGGGGGUAAGGAAUUGUCAACGGUUUGGGCUGAAACCUUGCGUCAGGAUUUCGACCCGAAAUACCAACAAUCCCUUUCCUCUCACAGAUGCUGCUCGAUCCACUGAGUUCCUCCAGCAAUUUGUUGCUCCAAAUUCCAGCAUCUGCAGUCUUUUGCAUCUCAAAAUUUAGUCACUUGGAUUAACUUAACAUCUAAUGCUAAACACGCAUUAAUGCUGAUCAGUUAUUUUAAAAAAAACACUAUAUCCUACUGUAACCCACUCUUUGUAUUUUUUUAAAAAAAAGACAACUGUGAAGUGUGUGUAGCUGCCAUCUAAUUUGUUGUAAAGUGCUUUAACAUGCUCCUUUACUGUAAAGCUUUUGGGAUGUUUUUAAUCAUGAGGGAAUUUGUGCAGUGCUUUUAAAUAACAUAUGAACCAAUGGACUGUCAUUUGUUUAUUUUAAAACUAAUUCUAUUGAAGAAAAGAACUUAAACCAAAUCAAAACCUUAUUCUGGGGUCAAUAAUGCACCUCAGCCCCUCUGGUGCCUGUUGGUCAUAGAGUGCCUCGAGCGUGCUGUGGACACCACAUAGUGCCUUUUUAGAGCCUUUGGUUCUGAUUCCUUUAUGUUCUCUCAUUAUUACCUAGACAAACAUUGAAAAUGUUGUUAUAGUUGACCAGAUCCUUUGGAUAUAUUAAGAGAAUUUUUGAAUGCAAGUUGUACAAAGGAAGUUUCUAAUACCAUCUUGUAUGUAUCUCUUGUAUGGAUGGGAAGCAAUUUAUGCUUGCAUUAAUGUGAAAGCAACAAUAUAACUUGAGAGUUAGAUUUUGAUUUAACUCCAGGCUGCACUGAAGCUGGUGGUGUAGGGAUCCCUUUGUUAUCCUUGAUGUCUCCUGAGUUGGUAGUGUGUGCAGAUGAACUUUGACUCUGUGUGAAAUCACAUAUUGGCUGCAUCUUUUAGAGAAGUUCACAAAACUUUUUUCUGUUUGGAGUAAGUCAGUAGUUUGUUGACAUUAAAAAUGACCUAACUGGGCUGUGGGCUCGGAAACUGCAUGCUCGGCAAUCUUUCCAAGACACCGUCUGUGAGAAAUAGGCACCAUAUUAACUGCAAUUUACAUGAACCACAAGGGCCAUACUUGUGUAAAAUAAUAGGCUGAGGAUAGAACAUGGACUCAUUUUAUGACUUUAUAUUUCAAAAAAGAACUGUUCACUGGGAGCAUGUAUUAAAAAUUGGUAGAUCAGUUGCAGGUCAGGUGAAUUUUUAUUGAUUGGUUGUUAGAAUAUGAAUGGGAAGAGCAAUACGAUGUGGAAUUGAAAGUAUAUGCUGUCAGAGGCAUUUGCUAUGCUUAGUAAUAUGACAUCCUAUUUGUUGCUUUCAAUUAAAGGCCUUUAAAUUGUAUAGAUAAAAUUCUUUGCCUUUCUUUUAUCUAUUUGUUUCAACUUGGAAGACAGGAAGAAAAAAAGUCAGAUCAGCAAUACCACAAUACGAAACCAAUCACUGUAUUUCUAAAGGAAUAUUGUUGUGUAUAUAUCAGGAAAAGUCACUUGGUGAAUGUUAGGUGAGUGACUUCAAAUACACGUUUUGUUAGAUUCACACGCAAGGAUGAAUAUUUAGUUUUGCAUAUUGUGUCAGAUAUAUUCAGCACAUGUAUUCAGCUUGGGAACGGGAGAAAAUAACCCCAUUUACCCAGCAGCUGCUAACUCGGACUUCAAUCUUGUUAAGGGAUAUUCAGUGGGUGUUGUGAAUUUUCCCCCUUGUUAUGCAGCUAAGAAUGAGUAAUAAACUUUAAUCUGUACUGUGGAAACAUGUUGAAUUCCAAUUGAUCUGUUCUUUGUACAGUGCAUUGCCUGGAUCUAGUUCAAUACAAGUUGAAUGAGAUUGAAGGAAAAAGAGUGAGUGGUGACGUGACCAAAUCGUUUUUAUGACCCUAUGUGCUGAUUAAUCAAAACAUAUGAAUAUCUUUGGUGUUAUUCUGAUUUCUUCUGUGUAGUUUAUGUAUGCUUGUACCAAGCACACAGGCUGACGCAGGUGGCUGUCAUUAGAUAGUUGGGAUGCAGCCAAUUAAAGAGAAAAAUUAACUUUUAUUUUUGCCCAUCAAUCUGUCUCAAUGAAAGUAAAAGAACAGUUUUCAACAGAGUACCCCAGUUUGGAGCAUAACAUUGCCAAACUCAUGUAUACUGAUAGAAUGAGGGCCAGCUGGCUGAUUGUUUUACAUAACAUCAGCAGAUGCCCUAAAAAUGUGGUAUACAGUGAAUGGGUAUUUGGAGAGAAGCACAGAAAGAAGACUGAUUGUCUACAUCAAAGCUUGUUUGAAUGUAAUGUUCUUCUGACUACAGAUACCUGCUGAGCCUUUCUUUCAUGAUGGUAACAUGUCUAUGAUCUUGAUAUAUAUUACUGCUUCAACAAAUUUUAAUGACUUGUGCUAUCAAAUUUAAUGCAAUAAAAGUGGUUAUACCUGGA